rnacentral:rRNA from 1 species
CUACGGGAUGCAGCAGUUAGGAAUAAUCUACAAUGCGCGAAAGCGUGAUAGUUUGAGCCAGAGUGUUUUUCAAUUGAAAGACUUUUGUGAAAUGUAAAAAGUUUCACGAAUAAGGACUGGGUAAGACUAGUGCCAGCCGCCGCGGUAAUACUGGCGGUCCAAGUCGCAACCAUUUUUAUUGGGUCUAAAACAUCCGUAGCUUGCUUGACAAGUCUUCUGUGAAAUUUUACGUCUAAAACGUAGAGCGCGCAGAAGGUACUAUCAAGCUAGAGACCGGAAGACGUAAGAAGUACAUUCAGAGUAGCGGUUAAAUGUGUUAAUCCUGGAUGGACUAACAAGAGCGAAGGCAUCUUACGAGGACGGUUCUGACAGUAAGGGAUGAAAGCUAGGGGCGCAAAUGGGAUUAGAUACCCCGGUAGUC